rnacentral:lncRNA from 1 species
CGGAAAUUCUAAUUUUAAUUAAUUUGAAUAUUCUGAGCUAAUUAUUUGCAUUAUUAACUGCAGGGAAAUUUUGGAGAUAUAUUUUGGAGCAUUUUUUUUUGGGAGGCUGCAGCAUUUUUUUUUUUGGGAUUCUGUUGGAAAACCAGAGCGUCAUGAUUGCUUGGUGCUUUGGAGUUGUUUGAAAGACUUGGAACGGUGCCACCCACUAGGAAGCUGCACGGUUUUAUAUCUCGGAAGGAAAAGAAAGCUCCGAGAGGUUUUGGCUUACAUUAUUCACGCUGACCAAAAAAAACAAUUUUUAUAUUCUACAAGUGAAUUAAAUGCAUGUGUUUCUUUUUUAUUUUAUUUUAAUUACAACAUGAAUUUUUAUUACAAGCUUUCUU